rnacentral:rRNA from 1 species
GAUGAACGCUGGCGGCGUGCCUAAUACAUGCAAGUCGAGCGAAUAGUCUAUGAGCUUGCUCCUCUGACGUUAACGGCGAACAGGGGAGUAACACUGGGAUACCCUACCUAUAAGACUGGGAUAACUUCGGGAAACCGGAGCUAAUACCGGAUAAUAUAGUAAACCUCAUUUUUCAAUAGUGAAAGACGGUGUUGCUGUCACUUAUAGAUGGAUCCGCGGCGCAUUAGCUAGUUGGUAAGGUAACGGCUUACCAAGGCAACGAUGCGUAGCCGACCUGAGAGGUGAAUCGCCAACAUGGGAACGGAACACCGGUCAAGAUUCUUAGGGGAGGAAGCAUAAGGGAAUUUUCGGAAAUGGGGGAAGGCUUGACGGACAAAGGCGCGGUAGGGAAUGAAGGUUUCGGAUUCUAAAACUCUGUUUAUUGGGGAAGACAAAAAGUGGAAGUAAAAAUGCACGUCUUGACGGUACCUAACCAGAAAGCCACGGCUAACUACGUG